rnacentral:rRNA from 1 species
GAUGAACGCUGGUGGUAUGCUUAACACAUGCCAGUCGAACGGACUCUUCGGAGUUAGUGGCGGACGGGUGAGUAACGCGUGAGAAUCUGGCUUUGGGUUCGGGACAACCACUGGAAACGGUGGCUAAUACCGGAUGUGCCGAGAGGUAAAAGAGAAAUUGCCUGAAGAUGAGCUCGCGUCUGAUUAGCUAGUUGGUGAGGUAAAGGCUCACCAAGGCAGCGAUCAGUAGCUGGUCUGAGAGGAUGACCAGCCACACUGGGACUGAGACACGGCCCAGACUCCUACGGGAGGCAGCAGUGGGGAAUUUUCCGCAAUGGGCGAAAGCCUGACGGAGCAAUACCGCGUGAGGGAAGAAGGCUCUUGGGUUGUAAACCUCUUUUCUUAGGGAAGAACAAAAUGACGGUACCUAAGGAAUCAGCAUCGGCUAACUCCGUG